AGUGAACGCUGGCGGUAGGCCUAACACAUGCAAGUCGAACGGCAGCACAGUAAGAGCUUGCUCUUACGGGUGGCGAGUGGCGGACGGGUGAGGAAUACAUCGGAAUCUACUUUUUCGUGGGGGAUAACGUAGGGAAACUUACGCUAAUACCGCAUACGACCUACGGGUGAGAGCAGGGGAUCUUCGGACCUUGCGCGAUUGAAUGAGCCGAUGUCGGAUUAGCUAGUUGGCGGGGUAAAGGCCCACCAAGGCGACGAUCCGUAGCUGGUCUGAGAGGAUGAUCAGCCACACUGGAGCUGGGACACGGUCCAGACUACUACGGGAGGCAGCAGUGGGGAAUAUUGGACAAUGGGCGCAAGUCUGGUCCAGCCAUACCGCGUGGGUGGAGGAGGCCUUCGGGUUGUAAAGCCCUUUUGUUGGGAAAGAAAAGCAGCAGGUUAAUACCCCGCGGUUCUGACGGUACCCAAAGAAUAAGCACCGGCUAACUUCGUG
rnacentral:rRNA from 1 species